UGACGGUAACUUACCAGAAAGGGACGGCUAACUACGUGCCAGCAGCCGCGGUAAUACGUAGGUCCCGAGCGUUGUCCGGAUUUAUUGGGCGUAAAGCGAGCGCAGGCGGUUUAAUAAGUCUGAAGUUAAAGGCAGUGGCUUAACCAUUGUUCGCUUUGGAAACUGUUAGACUUGAGUGCAGAAGGGGAGAGUGGAAUUCCAUGUGUAGCGGUGAAAUGCGUAGAUAUAUGGAGGAACACCGGUGGCGAAAGCGGCUCUCUGGUCUGUAACUGACGCUGAGGCUCGAAAGCGUGGGUAGCGAACAGGAUUAGAUACCCUG
rnacentral:rRNA from 1 species